rnacentral:ncRNA from 1 species
AACCGGCACUCCACAAUAUGCCGUUUCGACCGUGUAAAAAAGGAGGUAACGUCCGCUUGCUCGCGGUGCGGCAGUGUGGAGACCUGUCGUAAGGUGCGACGCCCCCCUGCGGGCGCGCACGAGGUCGUUUCGGAGGAGUCCGGGCGAUCGGAGCAAAACAACAUG